rnacentral:rRNA from 1 species
GAUGAACGCUGGCGGCGUACCUAAUACAUGCAAGUCGAGCGAACAGACGAGGAGCUUGCUCCUCUGACGUUAGCGGCGGACGGGUGAGUAACACGUGGAUAACCUACCUAUAAGACUGGGAUAACUUCGGGAAACCGGAGCUAAUACCGGAUAAUAUAUUGAACCGCAUGGUUCAAUAGUGAAAGACGGUUUUGCUGUCACUUAUAGAUGGAUCCGCGCCGCAUUAGCUAGUUGGUAAGGUAACGGCUUACCAAGGCGACGAUGCGUAGCCGACCUGAGAGGGUGAUCGGCCACACUGGAACUGAGACACGGCCCAGCCCCCUACGGGAGGCAGCAGUAGGGAAUCUGCCGCAAUGGGCGAAAGCCUGACGGAGAAACGCCGCGUGAGGGAUGAAGGUCUUCGGAUCGUAAAACCCUUUUAUUGGGGAAGAACAAAUGUGUAAGUAACUAUGCACGUCUUGACGGUCCCUAAACAGAAAGCCACGGCUAACUUCGU